rnacentral:rRNA from 1 species
UCCUACGGGAGGCAGCAGUCGGGAACUUUGGGCAAUGGGCGAAAGCCUGACCCAGCAACGCCGCGUGAAGGAUGAAAUCCCUCGGGAUGUAAACUUCGCAAGAGUGGGAAGAAUUAGUAGGGGUUAAUACCCUCUAUGAUGACGGUACCAUUUGUAAGCUCCGGCUAACUCCGUGCCAGCACCCGCGGUAAUA